GUGUUUACUUCAGCAGCGUGCAUACUAAAGUUGAAAGAGUACAGAGAAGAUCUGCAUGGCCACGGUACAAGGGUGGCAUGCAGAAUUGCAUGCUGUAGAAUAUUCUC